rnacentral:rRNA from 1 species
GGCAUUCUGAGUUCGCUCUAUAACCCUUUGUGAACAUACCUAUAACUGUUGCUUCGGCGGGUAGGGUCUCCGCGACCCUCCCGGCCUCCCGCCUCCGGGCGGGUCGGCGCCCGCCGGAGGAUAACCAAACUCUGAUUUAACGACGUUUCUUCUGAGUGGUACAAGCAAAUAAUCAAAACUUUUAACAACGGAUCUCUUGGUUCUGGCAUCGAUGAAGAACGCAGCGAAAUGCGAUAAGUAAUGUGAAUUGCAGAAUUCAGUGAAUCAUCGAAUCUUUGAACGCACAUUGCGCCCGCCAGCAUUCUGGCGGGCAUGCCUGUUCGAGCGUCAUUUCAACCCUCAAGCUCUGCUUGGUGUUGGGGCCCUACAGCUGAUGUAGGCCCUCAAAGGUAGUGGCGGACCCUCCCGGAGCCUCCUUUGCGUAGUAACUUUACGUCUCGCACUGGGAUCCGGAGGGACUCUUGCCGUAAAACCCCCCAAUUUUCCAAAGGUUGACCUCGGAUCAGGUAGGAAUACCCGCUGAACUUAAGCAUAUCAAUAAGGCGGAGGA